ensembl:snRNA U6 U6 spliceosomal RNA
GUGCUCGCUUUGGCAGCACCUAUACUAAAAUUGGAACGAUAUAGAAAAGCUUAGCAUGGCCCCUGCACAAGGAUGGCAUGCAAAUUCAUGAAGUGUUCCUUUUUUUA